GACGAACGCUGGCGGCGUGCCUAAUACAUGCAAGUCGAACGCAGUGGGGACGGGUGAGUAACACGUGGGGAACCUCCCAUCAGAGGGGAGAACACUUGGAAACAGGUGCUAAACCGAUACUGAUGGACGGACCCGCGGUGCAUGAGCAAGUUGGUGAGGUAACGACUCACCAAGGACACGAUGCAUAGCCGACCUGAGAGGGUGAUCGGCCACACUGAGACUGAUACAGGGCCCAGACUCCUACGGGAGGCAGCAGGAGGGGAUCUACGGCAAUGGAAGAAAGUCUGACCGAGCAACGCCGGGUGAGUGAAGAAGGUUUUCGGAUCGUAAAACUCUGUUGUUAGAGAAGCGGUAUCUAACCAGAAAGCCACGGCUAACUACUUGCCAGCAGCCGCGGUAAUA
rnacentral:rRNA from 1 species